rnacentral:ncRNA from 2 species
ACGGCUUCCCCGGGGGACCGCCGAUGCCGCGGUUGAGAGGAGGGCCGCAGCUCUCGACCCGCAGAACCUGAUCCGGUUGACACCGGCGUAGGGAGUGGAGCGGCGUCCCUG